CCAUAUGCAACCAGAGUGGCUCCAGACCAUGAGACUGGUCAGGAGCUAUCCUUGCUUUAAACCAUAUAUCAGUUGCUCAGGCUAAAAUUGGUCUUACACCAUAUGCAACCAGAGUGGCUCCAGACCAUGAGACUGGUUACACCAUAUGCAACCAGAGUGGCUCCAGACCAUGAGACUGGUCAGGAGCUAUCCUUGCUUUAAACCAUAUAUCAGCUGCUCACGCUAAAAUAGGUCUUACGCCAUAUGCAACCAGAGUGGGUCCAGACCAUGAGACUGGUCAGGAGCUGUCCUUGCUUUAAACCAUAUAUCAGCUGCUCACGCUAAAAUAGGUCUUAUGCCAUAUGCAACCAGAGUGGCUCCAGACCAUGAGACUGGUCAGGAGCUAUCCUUGCUUUAAACCAUAUAUCAGCUGCUCACGCUAAAAUAGGUCUUACACCAUAUGCAACCAGAGUGGCUCCAGACCAUGAGACUGGUCAGGAGCUAUCCUUGCUUUACACCAUAUAUCAGCUGCUCACGCUAAAAUAGGUCUUACGCCAUAUGCAACCAGAGUGGCUUCAGACCAUGAGACUGGUCAGGAGCUAUCCUUGCUUUAAACCAUAUAUCAGCUGCUCAUGCUAAAACAGGUCUUACGCCAUAUGCAACCAGAGUGGGUCCAGACCAUGAGACUGGUCAGGAGCUAUCCUUGCUUUAAACCAUAUAUCAGCUGCUCAUGCUAAAAUAGGUCUUACACCAUAUGCAACCAGUGUGGGUCCAGACCAUGAGACUGGUCAGGAGCUAUCCUUGCUUUAAACCAUAUAUCAGCUGCUCACGCUAAAAUAGGUCUUACGCCAUAUGCAACCAGAGUGGGUCCAGACCAUGAGACUGGUCAGGAGCUAUCCUUGCUUUAAACCAUAUAUCAGCUGCUCACGCUAAAAUAGGUCUUAUGCCAUAUGAAACCAGAGUGGCUCCAGACCAUGAGACUGGUCAGGAGCUAUCCUUGCUUUAAACCAUAUAUCAGCUGCUCACGUUUAAAUAGGUCUUAUGCCAUAUGCAACCAGAGUGGCUCCAGACCAUGAGACUGGUCAGGAGCUAUCCUUGCUUUAAACCAUAUAUCAGCUGCUCACGCUAAAAUAGGUCUUAUGCCAUAUGAAACCAGAGUGGCUCCAGACCAUGAGACUGGUCAGGAGCUAUCCUUGCUUUAAACCAUAUAUCAGCUGCUCACGCUUAAAUAGGUCUUAUGCCAUAUGAAACCAGAGUGGCUCCAGACCAUGAGACUGGUCAGGAGCUAUCCUUGCUUUAAACCAUAUAUCAGCUGCUCACGCUUAAAUAGGUCUUACGCCAUAUGCAACCAGAGUGGCUCCAGACCAUGAGACUGGUCAGGAGCUAUCCUUGCUUUAAACCAUAUAUCAGCUGCUCACGCUAAAAUAGGUCUUAUGCCAUAUGAAACCAGAGUGGCUCCAGACCAUGAGACUGGUCAGGAGCUAUCCUUUCCGCUAUAAUGAGACCAUGAAACCUUGCGCCUCAUAUUAUAUUUGGCCUCAAAUUCACACACACGCAGGCACACAAGUAGUAUUUUUGUUUAUUUGAAUUUUAUUUAUUUAAAUCCCUCAUGAAUUUUUAAAUAGUUCUUAAAUAAGGUCCAUGUUUGCAAACUGUUUGUAUUAAACAUAAAAUGCAUCAGUAUUUUGCAGCAUUUAAGGUAAAAUUUAAUGAAAACCUAAACAGUUUAUGACCAGGUAUGCAUAAUUUAUCUUAAGGUCAAAUUUAAUUGCAGAGAAUAAACUCAUGUUAUGCCAUAAAAUGCACAAAUUAUUCUAUCCACGCCAGAGAUAUUUUUAUAAAAUAGUUUUUUUGGCAGUUUUGCACAAUUAAAGAAAAGUCCCUAUUGAGAAAGAUAGUUUCUAAUGAUUAUCUGUAUUGUUGUUACAUUUCAAAAGAGUAAAUCUUGUUAUUGUAACAUUAUUAUGUGUUAUUGAUGUUGUUAUUAUGUGAACAUGAAACUGAUGACAGUGUGAGAUAGAACAGAAAUACAAACCAUUGUUUUACGUCUCUCAACAAAUCUCAGUAGCGCAUCUUGCAAAUAUUAACUCUUUGCAUGCUGGGAAAUUUGUCGUCUUCUUAAAUUUCAUCUGCUGAAUUUCUAAAAUUAGCAUUUUCUUCAUUUUUUUCAAAGAAUACCAUUAGAAUAGCAAACAGAUUGGAUCCUGAUGAGACGCCACGUUCUGGAUCCAAACUGUUUGCAAAGGCCUUCCAAAUUUGGUUCCAGCACCGAAAGAGUUAAGUUAUAUUGUAGUCUAUUUGAGUAUUCAAGUGAGCUUCAUGCAUAAUAUAUUGUGGAAACACAUAAUUACUUAAUCUAAUGUUCAUGUUAUUUAACUUGAUGGCCAAUCAUAUUCUGACAUUAUUAUUUACAUUAGACAAUUAAUUAAGUACAUCAAUAUCAUAUGUAUUUGUUAAGCUUAAUAAUUAUGUGCUUUAGACAUUUGUCAUUUUCAAAUUAUUUUUACUGCCUGGUAUGACAAAAAAAUGUAGAAAACAGGAUAGAAAUAAUCUUCGCCUGUUACAAAUAGAAAAUUACCAAAAAGUACAAUAUUUUAUGACAAGUUUUUAUGUGUUGUAUUUCAUUGUGGAUGGUUGCAGUCAUACAAGUGCUAUAUGUCGUUGUAUAGGAUACAAAAUCUAACAUAUUUUAAUAAAAAUGUUGAACCACA